rnacentral:lncRNA from 1 species
UAUUCUUUUGGUUCUUUGACAAACAUUCAUUUACUUUCACUCCAGGAGUAUUUUGUUCUUCAAUAAAUGUAAAAUUUAGCACCUUCGAGAUUAGUUCUUAAGAGAAAAUCUAUGAACUACUGCAUCAGACAAGGUAAUGUCAUAACAUGCUUGUUUACCUAUUUAUUGCACAAAUCUUUGUCCAAUAUGCUUGUGGUUAUGAGUGUAUCAUCUAUGAAAUGAUCCACAGAGAGAAAUCAUAUGAUUCAAUAAGACAGGGAGUCUUGCUGUCACCAGAUUAUGAAUUGUGUUUCUGAAAUUAGCAAUGCCUGAUACUUUCUUUUAGAAAGGAAUAUAGAUUAAUUCCAAAAGUGUAAUAUUUACAAGUAGAGGAGAAAUAGCGAAUUAUUUUUAGUUAUGGUAGACUAUGAAAAAACAGAACAUGUUUUUGAGUCCAUUCUAUUUUAAUGGAACAAAUUUUUUUUUUUAUUUUCAUGGAUUUUUAAUGGAAAAAAAAAACAGGAAAAUGUUACUUUUCAGACAUGCCUUGUAAAGAAUCUUUGAGUAAACCUGUGGAAGACUCACCUUUCACUGCAUAGGUAACAUUACUCCUAUUGGAAUGAACAUUUAUAUAUUUUACUAGGAAAUAAUAAUAGAUAGCUGCAUAAAUUCUGAUAGGGGUGAUUGUAUAAUCCAUAAAGUAUAAAAUCCUGCAAUACUUUAAUUUAUAAUACAUC